AAUGCUGCUCAUCUCUAGAAAUGAAAAGGGAGCAAAGUGUUAGAAAAAGAAACGGGCAUACAAUGAAGAAAGUAAGAGAAAAGGCCCAUGAGAAAGUUCAUGGGAGCUGAUGAAUUUUCAAGAGAAACUGAGAGCAGGAGCACGAGUAGACAGGAACUUGCAGCAUCUGUGUCAGGAGGUCUUGUGGGUUGACAGAAGUGGACUGCGGAGAGAGCUGAAGAUGGAGAACAUGCCAGAUCACUGUUCUCAAAGAGCACUGCGUGAUUCCCCCAGCAUCAGAAUCACCAGAGGGGCUUCCUGAAAAUGAAGACUGGAGACUCAUGGCGCCUGUGGCUGGAGGCUACCAUACUGAACAAUUCAAAUCCAUAUUAAGAAGAAGGCACAACAGGACAGCAUGCUUAACAGAGGCAAAGGCAAGAGGAAGGCAGAAAACCUGGAGCAUUUCUGAGGCCACACCAAGUGGGAAAAUUGCAAAGCUACCAGCAUUUGACCUUCUCAGGAACCAGCAAACAAAUCCUGUUUUUUACAGGGCAAAUAGUAGAGAAGAUAUAAAGAGGAGAGGAAUCCUAAGAGGGACUCUCACUGAAGAAGAGGACGUUCUUCUGGGAGAGAAGGCCCCACCAGACACCACGAGAGGCCAUUCUAGCUGA
rnacentral:lncRNA from 1 species